UAUAUAUAUGUUAUAAUUGAAACCUUAGUUAUAAGAAGAGAGAACUUAAGUUUUCUUUUUCCCCGAACCUUUCUCUCCUUUUCUCCUCUUCCCUUCUGCGACGGCGCCGAUUCUGCCGAGUGAAGAAAAUGAAGCCCUAGCUUCGUUUCCGACGGCCGGCGAAGGCGUUUUCCGAAGGUUCCUUCACCGUCGUGAUUCUUCGUCGAGGAGGACCCGUGAGCACGAAGAAGAGCCGGAGAACUUGAGUUUUCUUCGAACCCUAGCAGCUCCUCUUCCCGGUUUUGAGUCCAAGGAUAGAUAAAGGAAAAGCUAAAGUAUAAGGAGGAAGGCGACAAGAUGAUGGUGAUGGUGUGUGAUGUCGGAUUCAUGGAAGCCUUGGGACUUGCUAAGAAGUUAUUUAGAUCCUUUCCUUGUUAGUAGAGAUAUAGUUAAUAGAUUUCUUCUUGUGUUGCUGGAUUUGGUUUACCUUGUGUUACAUGAAUUGUUGCUUUUUGAUGUUGCUAAUAUAAUCUCGGUGAUGCUGGAAUUUCUUAUAUAGAUUUCUUCUUGAAUGGUU